rnacentral:tRNA from 1 species
GCUUGUAUAGUUUAAUAAAAAAUGUUGCUUUGUGGAGGCGAUGAUGUAUUGUUUACUGCUGGUC